UCUUUUUAUUGUGUGCCAGCCGCCGCGGUAAUACGGAAGGUCCGGGCGUUAUCCGGAUUUAUUGGGUUUAAAGGGAGCGUAGGCCGGAGAUUAAGCGUGUUGUGAAAUGUAGAUGCUCAACAUCUGCACUGCAGCGCGAACUGGUUUCCUUGAGUACGCACAAAGUGGGCGGAAUUCGUGGUGUAGCGGUGAAAUGCUUAGAUAUCACGAAGAACUCCGAUUGCGAAGGCAGCUCACUGGAGCGCAACUGACGCUGAAGCUCGAAAGUGCGGGUAUCGAACAGG
rnacentral:rRNA from 1 species